UUGUCAAUGGUGUAACCAUUUUGGAACGGAAUCUAAGUAAUUUUGCAAAAAUUUGCCACUACCAUUGAGACAA